rnacentral:rRNA from 1 species
CCAGAGAACUUAGCAGAGAUGCUUUGGUGCCUUCGGGAACUCUGAGACAGGUGCUGCAUGGCUGUCGUCAGCUCGUGUUGUGAAAUGUUGGGUUAAGUCCCGCAACGAGCGCAACCCUUAUCCUUUGUUGCCAGCGGCUCGGCCGGGAACUCAAAGGAGACUGCCGGUGAUAAACCGGAGGAAGGUGGGGAUGACGUCAAGUCAUCAUGGCCCUUACGGCCAGGGCUACACACGUGCUACAAUGGCGCAUACAAAGAGAAGCGACCUCGCGAGAGCAAGCGGACCUCACAAAGUGCGUCGUAGUCCGGAUUGGAAUCUGCAACUCGACUCCAUGAAGUCGGAAUCGCUAGUAAUCGUAGAUCAGAAUGCUACGGUGAAUACGUUCCCGGGCCUUGUACACACCGCCCGUCACACCAUGGGAGUGGGUUGCAAAAGAAGUAGGUAGCUUAACCUUCGGGAGGGCGCUUACCACUUUGUGAUUCAUGACUGGGGUGAAGUCGUAACAAGGUAGGCGUAGCGAG